rnacentral:lncRNA from 1 species
CAGAGGAGCAGGCCUGGGGGGUCAGCAGCUACUGCCCUGCCUUGGGUGGGGCCAAGGGGCGCGAUUUGGGAGGGCGGGGAUCGGAGGAUGCUUCGGAGGAUGCUUCGAAGGAUCCUUGGGGUUAUCCUAGAAUAUUCCUUGAGGGUUAUCGCAGUAGGUGAGGGCCAGAUUAGUUGAGUGUGCGUAGCUGGAUCCCCGUUCUGGUCGGCGGGGCCUUGAGGGUCCUUUCCGAGGGCUUGAGGCCUGGAGAGUGCUGGGGGCGAGCACGCAGCGAAGGGGCAGGCCUGAAAUUGGGAGGAUCUGGAGUCAGCUGUCACCACUCAGUACACUUGGACCCGGCUCCCCCAAGGGUUCAAGAACUCCCCCACCAUCUUCGGGGAGGCACUGGCUCGAGACCUCCAGAAAAUUCCCACCAGAGACCUAGGCUUCGUGCUGCUCCAGUACGUUGACAACUUCCUGCUGGGACACCCCAUGGCAGUCAUGUGUGCCAAGGGAAUGGAUACCCUGCUCUGGCACCUGGAGGACUAUAGGUAUAAGGUGUCCAAGAAGGAAGCUCAGAUCUGCAGAUAGCAGGUAUGUUACCUGGGAUUUACUAUCCGACAGGGAGAGCACAGCCUGGGAUCAGAAAGAAAGCAAGUCAUCUGCAACCUGCUGGAGCCUAAGACCAGAAGGCAGGUGAGAGAAUUCUUAGGAGCUGUAGGGUUCUGCAGAUUGUGGAUCCCAAACUUUGCAGUAUUGGCUAAGCCCCUGUACGGAGUCACAAAGUGAGGAGACACAGAACUUUUCAAAUGGGGGUCCCAACAGCAAUGAGCUUUUCAUGAGUUAAAAGAGAAACUCAUGUCGGCCCCAGCCCUGGGGCUACCUGACCUAACAAAACCUUUCACACUGUAUGUGUCAGAGAGAGAAAAAAUGGCCAUUGGAGUUUUAAUCCAGAUGGUGGGGCCCUGGCCAAGACCGGUAGCCUACCUCUCCAAAGAGCUAGAUGGAGUUUCUAAGGCAAGGUCUGAAAGAUGCGAGAUGUAGAAGUACCAGCCUAACAACUUUU